AUGUACAUGCCUACAAAAUUAAUGCUCCGUAUCCCAUCAAAACUCUGCAAUUAAGCGUGCUUGGGCUAGAGUAGUACUGGGAUGAGUGACCUCCGAGAAGUCAUAGUGAUUUACAUG
rnacentral:rRNA from 1 species